rnacentral:rRNA from 1 species
AACGAACGCUGGCGGCAGGCUUAACACAUGCAAGUCGAGCGCCCCGCAAGGGGAGCGGCAGACGGGUGAGUAACGCGUGGGAACAUACCCAACUCUACGGAAUAACUCAGGGAAGCUUGUGCUAAAUACCGUAUACGCCCUCGGGGAAGGAUUAUCGAGUUGGAUGCCGCGUGAUUAGCUAGUUGGUGGGGUAAAGGCCUACCAAGGCGACGAUCCAUAGCUGGUCUGAGAGGAUGAUCAGCCACAUUGGGACUGAGACACGGCCCAAACUCCUACGGGAGGCAGCAGUGGGGAAGUAUUGGACAAUGGGCGCAAGCCUGAUCCAGCCAUGCCGCGUGUGUGAUGAAGGCCUUA